rnacentral:lncRNA from 1 species
AACAAACUUCAAAUUACCACCCACAGUUCUUCUCUGGUGGAAGUGGCACCUUGCAGCAAAGAAGAAAGAGGAGAUGGCUGGCUGCUCACAGGUAUCUGGUGACGGCUAGUAAGUGAAGAUGCUCAGUGGAGACAGAGACCUCAUGGAGGUGGGGUGGCAGAUGGAGCUCCCCUUUACCUCUUCUGCUUCUAUUUAGAAUAAAAUUCUCCCAUCACCCAGGCUGAAAGCCUGGCAGUCAUCCUGCCCCUCCCCCUCCUCACUCCCAGACGAAGUCACCAAGUGCCCCGGUUCUGCUCAUGUGAUGUCUCCUACCUUCCUGCCAUUCCAUCCAUGCCUGUGCUAACACUCCACUUCAAGUUCUCAUUACGUCAUGUCUAGAUCAUUUCAAAAGCCUCUCAACUAGUCUCCCAGCCUCUGGGCCUCAGUCAUCACUCCCAAAACCACCACAUUAUUCUUAAAGACACUGCUGCCAUCAUGUGAUUUCACCAUUCAAAACCUUCCAAUGACUACUCAGUGUCUACCGAAUACAGUGAAGCUUUUUAGACAGACAUUCAAGCUCCUUCAUUUAAUUCUAAUCUUCAUUUCCAAAUUGCUCUCUCUGGACUCCCGGUAAGAAUCCUGUGAUUUAGCCAGGAUUAUUUACCUGUUAUUCCUUAAUUGUGCUAUUUCUUUCCCACCUCCAAGCCUUGCCCACUCCACUCCCUAUGGCUGCACAGUGUCUUCCUGUCUUCUAAAUCCUGUAGGUCCAUCAUGACCCAAUUUGGCCCCAUCCCUGCUUUGAUACCUCCCCUGACCGCUCUGGGGGACUGGAACCUCUCAGUAUCUAAGUGAUACCGCUCACUUGGCACUUCACCUCCACUGCCUUAUGUUAUGAAUUUGUUUUUUAUUUGAAUGUGCUCUGCUUUCUCAGUUACACUGUGAAUGUCUUACAGCCAGAGGGGGAAGGAGAUGAUGGCAGGAGGGCUCUGACAUGGGAAGGCUGUGGGACAGACUGGCGGGCAGGCUCUUGGGAUCAGAAAUCAGGCAAGCUGGGUUUGAAUCACAGCUCUGCUCUAACUAGGCACUCUUUGCCAAGAUACCUCAUCUCUCAAUGUUCUCAUUCAUACAAUGGGGAUAAUGAUUGUUCCUACCUCGAAGAGCUGUUGUGAGGAUUAAAUGAGUUAAUACAUGAAGAACCCUUGCCUAGAGCCCAGCACACAGAUAAAGUUUAAUUACUAUUAGUUAUCAUUGUUUUCACUAUCAGACAAGAAGAAAGGGUUUAUGAUAUGCUAGACACCAUAUAAAUGACCUUAUUUAAUUUAUACAGCAACCUGAUGAGGUAAUAGGGCCAUGCUCAUUUUAGAGAUGAGAAAACUGAAGUUUUGAGAAGUUUGAUCACAUGGCUAAUAAUUCAGCCUAAACUCAGCCCUCUCUGGGUCCAAAGACCAUUGCUUUCCACAAAGUUAAUCCACUAAGUUCCUGAGAUUGGGGGAAAUGGCUUGUACUUCUUUGUAAUUCCUUCAGUAUCUCAUAGAUUGCACAAAAAAAUUGCUGCUGAAUGGCUGGGAGAUUUCUUAGAAGAUCUCAGCAGCAAGUCCUUUAUGCUGCUGUGGAUCAAGAUUGCUAUCUGCCUACCACAAUUUCCUUUCUCUCUCUCUAAAUAAUCCCAGUAUUUAGCUGGGCACAUAACUGCCUAAAACAGGGAUCAGCCAUUCUGUACAGACAGAGUCAAAUUUCGGUUUUGUAGGCCAUAUGGUCUCAUUAGAACACUCAGUUUUGGCAUGGUACUGCAAAAGCAGCCAUAGACAAUAUGUACAUGAACAAGUGUGGCUGAAUUCCCAAAACCUUUACUUACAAAAACAGAUUUGUCCUGUGGACUGUAGUUUGCCGACCCUUCCCCUAGAGUGCAGACACACUGGCUGCCUCAAAUUAAGAUGUCCAUGAUGGUUAAUUUUAUGUGUCAUCUUGGAUGAACCACAGUGUGCCCAGAUAUUUGGGUAAACAUUAUUAUGGGUCUUUCUGUGAGAGUACUUUUAGAUGACACUAACAUUUACAUUGAUGGACUUUGAGUAAAGCAGACUGUCCUCCAUAAUGUAGGUGAACCUCAUCCAAUCAGUUGAAAACCUGAAUAGACCAAAAAGAAAAGAAUAGAUCAUAAAGCCUGAAUAAAAUAGAAUAUUUUAUUUUCCUCCCCUGAGGAGAGAAUUCUCCAGCAGCCUGCCUUCAGACUUCAUCUGCA